rnacentral:rRNA from 1 species
GACGAACGCUGGCGGCGUGCUUAACACAUGCAAGUCGAGCGGUAAGGCCCUUUCGGGGUACACGAGCGGCGAACGGGUGAGUAACACGUGGGUGACCUGCCCUCAGCUCUGGGAUAAGCCUGGGAAACUGGGUCGUAAUACCGGAUAUGACUCCAUGACGCAUGUUGUGGGGUGGAAAGCCUUGUGCGGCUGAGGAUGGGCUCGCGGCCUAUCAGCUUGUUGGUGGGGUGAUGGCCUACCAAGGCGACGACGGGUAGCCGGCCUGAGAGGGCGACCGGCCGACACUGGGACUGAGACACGGCCCAGACUCCUACGGGAGGCAGCAGUGGGGAAUCUUGCGCAAUGGGCGAAAGCCUGACGCAGCGACGCCG